CGUAGGGGGCGAGCGUUGUCCGGAUUUAUUGGGCGUAAAGAGCUCGUAGGUGGUUUGGUAAGUCGGAUGUGAAAUCUCCAGGCUCAACCUGGAGGGGUCAUUCGAGACUGCCAUGACUAGAGUUCGGUAGAGGAGUGUGGAAUUCCUGGUGGAGCGGUGAAAUGCGCAGAUAUCAGGAGGAACACCCGUAGCGAAGGCGGCACUCUGGGCCGAUACUGACACUGAGGAGCGAAAGCGUGGGGAGCGAACAGGAUUAGAUACCCUGGUAGUCCACGCCGUAAACGUUGGGCACUAGGUGUGGGGUUCUAUCGACGGAUUCCGUGCCGUAGCUAACGCAUUAAGUGCCCCGCCUGGGGAGUACGGCCGCAAGGCUA
rnacentral:rRNA from 1 species